rnacentral:misc_RNA from 1 species
GAUGUGCUUGCAAUGUGGAAUACCUAAGACAUACUCCAGUGCACGUGGAAUGGUAUGUCCUGUGUGCGGUGAUCGGCCGUUCGACACAAACAAAGAGCCCAAGAAAAAGGGUUCAACGAUUAAAGAUAAGGAAAAAAGUAAGAGGAUUAAGGGCCAGUCAUCUCACGCUACAUGGAAAAGUGAGACAGAGAUGCAACUCAGACAACAGUUUGAUUAGCAUAAUUAAGAUUCCCGUGAUGUUAAGGAUCAUUAGGAAAAAUGUGUAAUCAAAAAUGGUUAAAGUAAUCAGCAAUCGAGAAGCAGGUCCAAGUACAUUUGAGAAUGCGCUAUCUGUAUCUGUCUAAGAAGUACGGCUGCUGUUGCACAGUUUGAAUUUGAUGCUUAGGAUCAGCUGUGGUUAGUUUGUUCUUUUUCUAUCUCCAUCUUAUUAGCUAAAUUGCCCAAAUUCAUGCCUUCGCUUUUGGCAAAUCUUUCGAUUUUAACAAAAUGACCGUGAUCGAUGUGAUAGAAUUAUCGUUCAAAAUUUCGUCAAUAGAUAUUGAAAGUUUUCUUGAAGUUCAUGUCAACAAU